AUGAACCUCUUUCGUGCAUGCACCUCGAUUACGCUGGGCAAUGGGCAAAAGGCCCUUUUCUGGUAGGACAAAUGGACCGGAAGCGGCCUCCUCAGGCUUCUGGCUCCAGAGCUUUACAAGAUCACCUCCAGAAAGAACAGAUCGGUGCAUAAAGAACUCACGAAUGAGAACUGGAUAAAGGCGGUCGCCAAACUUCAGACCAUGCAGCAACUGGGAGAAUUUGUGACUCUCUGGGAGUGCAUUCGCUGGAAUUUAACCACCUCAGGGGCGUACUCCGCGGCUUCGGCCUACGGCGCGCAAUUCUUCGGUUCCUAUGCACGGUUCGACACGACGAAGGUCUGGCACGCAAACGCUGAGCCUAAAUGCAAAUUCUUCGCCUGGCUCGUUCUUCAUGGGAGAAUCCUCACCACGGAUAUGCUGGCUGUGAGGGGAUGGCCUCAUGACCCCAGGUGCCUGCUAUGCCUCCAACAGCCUGAAACUACAACUCACCUCUGCAAGGACUGUUCCUUCACGGUCGCGGUUUGGAACCAGGUGAACACCUGGACAAACAAGGGCGUACCAAUCUCGGGCUUCCUCCCGGAGCCCGGCAACGUGUCCGACUGGUGGGAUCAAACACUGACAACACAGUCCAAGCAGGGCCGCCGGCGGCGCAGUGGGAGAAUCAUCUACACUUUAUGGUCAAUCUGGAAGGAGCGAAAUAGGCGUGUUUUCACUGGACAAAGACCGACACACCGUGAGGUUGCCGCACUCGCCCUAGACGCUAUCAUUCAGCGGGACCUGGCAUUUACAGGAUGCUUCCCAAACACGGGUAUUGGCUAA
rnacentral:rRNA from 1 species